rnacentral:rRNA from 1 species
GAUGAACGCUGGCUACAGGCUUAACACAUGCAAGUCGUGGGGAAACGGCAUUAUGUGCUUGCACAUUCUGGACGUCGACCGGCGCACGGGUGAGUAUCGCGUAUCCAACCUGCCCCUUACUUGGGGAUACCCCGUUGAAAGACGGCCUAAUACCCGAUGUGUUUCAUUGACGGCAUCCGAUAUGAAACAAAGGUUUUCCGGUAAGGGAUGGGGAUGCGUCUGAUUAGCUAGUUGGCGGGGCAACGGCCCACCAAGGCGACGAUCAGUAGGGGUUCUGAGAGGAAGGUCCCCCACAUUGGAACUGAGACACGGUCCAAACUCCUACGGGAGGCAGCAGUGAGGAAUAUUGGUCAAUGCACGCAAGUCUGAACCAGCCAAGUAGCGUGCAGGAUGACGGCCCUAUGGGUUGUAAACUGCUUUUAUGUGGGAAUAAAGUGGCGCACGUGUGCGCCAUUGCAUGUACCUCAUGAAUAAGGACCGGCUAAUUCCGUGCCAGCAGCCGCGGUAAUACGGAAGGUCCGGGCGUUAUCCGGAUUUAUUGGGUUUAAAGGGAGUGUAGGCGGUCUGUUAAGCGUGUUGUGAAAUUUAGGUGCUCAACAUUUAACUUGCAGCGCGAACUGUCAGACUUGAGUACACGCAGCGCAGGCGGAAUUCAUGGUGUAGCGGUGAAAUGCUUAGAUAUCAUGAGGAACUCCGAUCGCGAAGGCAGCCUGCGGGAGUGUUACUGACGCUUAAGCUCGAAAGUGCGGGUAUCGAACAGG